GGCGCGGUGUCGGUGUGCUUGUAUUUGAGGAAGAGAGUUGUCCGGAGGUGGAGGGCGGCCAGGAAAUCCGACGCUCACCCGGGCAUGGGAACGGGUUUCGGCCCGGAUUCUGGUGCGGUGCAGGGUAGGCAGGUCUGUAUAGAUAGUCUAGGGUAGGUACAGGGUAGGCACAGCGUAGGUAGAAGUCUGGUAUAUAGUAUGGGCGGGUGUAGGGUAGGCUCAGACACCGAUCCGUUUCGCGCCCUCACCUUUGCUCGGAAAACGACAAUCUUGGCCGGGAUGCAGGUCUAGGGUAGGCUGAAUCUAUGAUUAUAUAAGCUAUACUGCUCUAGGGUAGGUGAAGAUCCCAUAGAAAUCUGAUCAGAAUUGG
rnacentral:misc_RNA from 1 species